UGUGGGUUGGCCUAUGUAAAUUGCU
rnacentral:piRNA from 1 species